rnacentral:rRNA from 1 species
CCUUUUUUACAAAACAUGUCUUAAGUGUUAAUAUAUUUUAAGUCUGGCCUGCUCAAUGAUAUUAUUUAAAUAGCCGCAGUAUUUUGACUGUGCGAAGGUAGCAUAAUCAUUUGUCUUUUAAUUGAAGGCUUGUAUGAAUGGUUUGACAAAAUGUAGUCUUUCUUUAUAUUAAAUUUAUUGAACUUAAUUUUUGAGUUAAAAAGCUUAAAUGUUUUUAUAGGACGAGAAGACCCUAUAGAAUUUUAUUUAAUUGAUUGUGUUUUAAUUUUGGUUAUUUAUUUUAAUUACAAUUAGUUAAAUUUUGUUGGGGUGACAGGGAAAUUUUAUUAACUUUCUUUUUUUAUUUUUUAUUAAUUUGUAUUUUUAUGAUCCUAUUUUUUAGAUAUUAAGAUUAAAUUACCUUAGGGAUAACAGCGUAAUUCUUUCUGAGAGUUCAUAUCGGUGAAGGAGUUUGCGACCUCGAUGUUGGAUUAAAAUAAGUUUAUAGUGCAGUAGCUUUAUUACUAGGUCUGUUCGACCUUUAAAUUUUUACA